rnacentral:lncRNA from 1 species
UGGAGAAGGCUGUGUUGGUGGAAGUGCAUACAGAUCUGGAGAUGGCAUGGGGGUGAGGGGGAGUAUUCGGCAGUGUACACGGGCAUUUGGUCAGUUCUUGUUUGAGGAGGAGCCCAGGUCCGGGGCACCCUGGAUUGUAGCCCUGCCCACAUCACACCCACGGUGGAGGCAGUGGCGGCCACUUUUCUGCUGAGCUCAGGCCUAUGCAGUCCUGAAUUGAAUCUCUCACUGGAACAUUGGGAAACUGAGGCCCCUAGAGGGGUAGGGAAUGGCCCUCGACAGGGUGAGUCCAAUGGGUAAGUGUGUGUUCUGACCUUCUAGGGCAAGACUGGGACCCCACGCGGAGGCUUGGCUUCUGAAAUUAGGAACCAUGAGACCUUGAGAAGCUCUUGCCAAUCCCUCCCUUUUGUGGGAGCUGUUUUCUUCUUGGCCUCCACAACCUGAGCACACAACACGCGGACGCACACAAACACACACACACACGCGCAUGCACACACACACAACACACACACACACACACACACACACAUUGACCUUGGAUGCAAGGAUGGACUCUAGGUGGGAUCCGAAGAGAAGCAGACACAGGGCAAGUGGCAAGAGGAAGAAACACGAGGUGGGAGGCAUUGCCUGCAAGUGACACCCGCCUGCAGUUUGAGAGGUAUCGUCCUCUAAGGAUCCAGAAGAGGUAAGGAAGAGGACUUGUUUCUGCGUCAGUCUCAAAGCUGGGACCUCGGCCGCACCCAGACCCUCUAGGGAGCCUGUGAGACGGGUGUGUUGGUUGAGCCUGGGUACGCCUACGACGUCGCAUGGAGAAGGGGGGGCUCUGGUUCCCAGAAAGCCCGGAGGGAGAACCUUUGGAGACGUUGUGGACGCUGGCUCAGCUCCCACGCCCCCCACCGCUGGACCUUUGGCAGGAGGUCCUCUCAGGCAGGACAGGGCUGGCAGGACUGAAAGGGGACCCCUAAGCUGCCUCCUCAUUCCAGGCCCUCAGGCUGCCGUGUGUUUCCCUCCUCGGUGGAGGUCUGUGUGGACCGUGGGGCGGGGUAUGUGUGUCCAGAGUGGAGAGAGUCACAGAGUGUGAGAGCCAGCAAAGACAGCCAGUCGGUCUCUGAGGCUUGCGCCUGGCUGCCGGGCACUGUCUUUCAGAGCGUCACUCAGGAGACGGGCCAGCAGCUGAGCCACGCGCCCUCUACUCACCACCCUGCAGAAGAGAAGGUGCCCACGCUCCAAGCGAGGCCAGGGCCGGCUCAGGGUGAGUGCAGGUGCUGGGGAGACCCAAGCCCCAGGGCCCCAAGACAGCACUGAGGACCCCCAGGUCUUCGAAGGGCCUGAGACAGCCCCGGGGCUCCUGCCUGGAGCCCUGCUCCAAAGGAAUCUGAAUCCCCAUCUCUUCCCCCGACCUUGCCUGCGGGCCCAGCCCCCGUCUUGGCCAGAGGAGACGGCCCUGUCCACAGAGGUGUAGCAGAGCAGAGACAUUUCUAGCCCAUCAGCUCACGGGCGUUCAAGAGUCCUUUUGCGUUCUGUAGAGAUUUUCCUGUUUGAACUCCCAUCCUCACGUGGCCAUGUGGCCUGGCAAUCCUUCCCCACCUUCUCCCAGUCGGACGCAGCAUCCUGAUGGAUAGGCAUGCUUUUUGCCCAACAGGACAUGGGGCUCACAGGGUUCUUUCUGGUCCUCUGCCUUUGCUGUCCAGAGGAACACGUCCACGUGGCCUCUCGAGGUCAGGGCGUCGGGCCUCAGCAGGCUGCCCAACUUUCCAGAAGGGAGACCCAUUAGCCCAGUGACUCAGCCCUUCACUGAACCCGCACCUUCUGUUGCCAUUUCCACAGCACCGCCCUGAUCACCCUGCCUGUCCUCCCGUCCUCAUCCCUCCCAGCCCACGAAAAGCCUCUGUGUUCUCCUGUCUCGAAUGGGCAGUUGGUCAGCCACCCCAGGGUUGAUGCUCUUCAUCCAGGGAGGGGCUGUCACUCCUCUGCCAGCACAAAGACCUAGGAGACCAAGAGGUUU